rnacentral:rRNA from 1 species
UGUAAGCGUAUACCAAAGUUGUUGCAGUUAAAACGCUCGUAGUCGGAAUUUGGCAGUUCCGGAAGUGUGCACGUCGUGUGCGCACUUUGCGGGGACUGCUUUUGUGGUCUUGCGUAGGAUGAGGCACUUUCAUUAGUGAACGUCCUCACGCAACCACUCUUUACUGUGAGAAAAUCAGAGUGCUCAAAGCAGGCAUUUGCCGUGAAUGUAUUAGCAUGGAAUAAUAGAAUAGGACUCGGUUCUAUUUUGUUGGUUUGUUGGGACUGAGUAAUGAUUAAGAGGGACAGUUGGGGGCAUUUGUAUUCCGGCGCUAGAGGUGAAAUUCUUAGAUUGCCGGAAGUCAAACUGCUGCGAAAGCGUCUGCCAAGGAUGUUUUCAUUGA